AGUUGGUGGUGAAAUCCCAGAGCUUAACUCUGGAACUGCCAUCAAAACUUUUUAGCUAGAGUAUGAUAGAGGAAAGCAGAAUUUCUAGUGUAGAGGUGAAAUUCGUAGAUAUUAGAAAGAAUACCGAUUGCGAAGGCAGCUUUCUGGAUCAUUACUGACGCUGAGGAACGAAAGCAUGGGUAGCGAAGAGGAUUAGAUACCCUCGUAGUCCAUGCCGUAAACGAUGUGUGUUAGACGUUGGAAAUUUAUUUUCAGUGUCGCAGCGAAAGCAUUAAACACACCGCCUGGGGAGUACGACCGCAAGGUUAAAACUCAAAUGAAUUGACGGGGACCCGCACAAGUAGUGGAGCAUGUGGUUUAAUUCGAAGAUACGCGCAGAACCUUACCAACACUUGACAUGUUCGUCGCGACUCUAAGAGAUUAGAGUUUUCGGUUCGGCCGGACGAAACACAGGUGCUGCAUGGCUGUCGUCAGCUCGUGUCGUGAGAUGUUGGGUUAAGUCCCGCAACGAGCGCAACCCUCACUUUUAGUUGCCAUCAUUUAGUUGGGCACUCUGAAAGAACUGCCAGUGAUAAGCUGGAGGAAGGUGGGGAUGACGUCAAGUCCUCAUGGCCCUUACGUGUUGGGCUACACACGUGCUACAAUGGCAUUUACAAUAGGAAGCAAGAUGGCGACAUCAAGCAAAUCCUAAAAAUAUGCCUCAGUUCGGAUUGUACUCUGCAACUCGAGUACAUGAAGCUGGAAUUACUAGUAAUCGCGGAUCAGCGCGCCGCGGUGAAUACGUUCCCGGGUCUUGUACACACCGCCCGUCACACCAUGGGAGUUGGUUCUACCUUAAGGCAAGGUUUUAAACCCUUGACUACGGUAUAGUCAGCGACUGGGGUGAAGUCGUAACAAGGUAGCCGUAGGGAACCU
rnacentral:rRNA from 1 species